rnacentral:rRNA from 1 species
UCCCAGCGGUCCAAGUCGCAAUCACUUUUACUGGGUCUAAAAUAUCCGUAGCUUGCUAAACAAGUUCUUUGUGAAAUCCGGCCUCUUAAGGGUCGAAGAGCAAAGAAUACUAUUUAGCUAGAGACCGGGAGACGUAAGAAGUACUGUCAGGGUAGCGGUUAAAUGCGUUAAUCCUGACUGGACUAACAACAGCGAAGGCAUCUUACGAGAACGGAUCUGACAGUGAGGGAUGAAGGCUAGGGGCGCAAAGUGG